AUGCUGCGACAAGGCUGUUUUGCAGAGAGUGAAGCCUCUGUGAUUACAGCUUGUGUUCAGGUCUGUGAGACUAAAAAAAAAAAAAAAUUGUCUUGAUUAAUAAUUCAGACUUUAAAAAUGACAACUUCAUUUUGUUUUCUUCACAGGAACCAAAAGGUUAAAAGGUUGUCGUAUACCCUCUAAAAUCUAAAAGGCCUCACAACCCCUGUGAAGCUUUGGCGACCCUUGGUAACAAGGGGAACAAGUGUGCUAGAUAGCAGUUUUAUAAGCCGUUUGACUCUUCCACUCCAAUUUAACAACAUAUUGCUUGUGUGUUACAGGUAAACUGUGACAAAUACAGAUCACAGUGCUCUGUAUGCAUUGCCUCACUUUCUCAUUACUAUCAUGAUGUUGAUGUCUGUCCUUGAUGAGUGACUGUGUUUGUGAGUGAAUCCCAGAUGAGAAUUUCAAAGUUAAUGGUGCACUGGAUUUCCAGCGAUUGCUCAACAAGGCACUACAAAAAGGGAGCUCACGACCUGCAGAGCACAUCUGAGGAAUCAGCACUGCAGUGGGACAGUUUACCAGAGUUAAUAAUUACCUGGAUUUCCAUCAAUGACACAAUAUAAAGGGAGCUCACGACCUGCAGAGCACAUCUGAGGAAUCAAACUCCAGUGGAACAAUUUACCAGAGAUCAGUAAACAGGCACGUGAGAACAUGAAGACUGUGAUUCUUGCUCUUGUGGUGUUGCUGGUUGUCAGCCAGGGUGAAGCCUUGAGGUGCUACUGUGGAGGUCAUACACACUGUUCAGGCCAUAUACAGACCUGCUCUGGUUCAAAUCAAGUCUGUGCCAGAAUCACCUUUAUGCAUGGCUGCUCAACUGUCAUGCAGCUGCCUGGCACUAGUGGAUGCUACAGAGCCAUCAGACAGUGGUCCCCUCCCCAGGGUAAUGCUCAGGAAGACUGGAGUUUUAAAACAGCACGGUGGGAAAUUGGAGAGAUUUUCUCUCACAAAACCAGUGCAGUUUGGAAGGAUUUUGACCUAGAAAAUGAAAACAAGGUAGCCACACUCAGACCAAUUUGACACUGUUCACCUGGAGAUGCUGUGAUCCCGCCUGGUCUGAGAAGAUAACCCAGCUCAUCACGACAAUGACCUCCCAAGAUAUGCUUCCACUUAACAUCGUUGAAGAUUACAGCUACUUCCAGAGUUGCUACGAUGUAAGAGCCUGUAGGGGACUGGUUAAUUCAAGUGGAUACUCCAGCAGAUGCUGCUUGACUGAUCUGUGCAACUGAUAAAUCAAAAUUAUCUUCAGCCAUGUCUUGUGAACUUUAGUGUUGUCAAAAUAAAGAUCAAUCAAGUUGCA